rnacentral:rRNA from 1 species
UACGGAAGGGGCAAGCGUUGUUCGGAAUCAUUGGGCGUAAAGGGCGCGUAGGUGGUUCUGUAUGUCUACCGUGAAAGCAUACAGCUCAACUGUAUUUUGUCGGUAGAAACUGCAGGACUUGAGGCUGGGAGGGGCUGGUGGAAUUCCCUGUGUAGCGGUGAAAUGCGUAGAGAUGGGGGAGAACACUCGUGGCGAAGGCGGCCAACUGGUCCGGUACUGACGCUGAGGUGCGAAAGCGUGGGGAGCAAACAGG